rnacentral:rRNA from 1 species
AACGAACGCUGGCGGCAGGCCUAACACAUGCAAGUCGAACGUGAAGCCACCUUCGGGUGGUGGAAAGUGGCAGACGGGUGAGUAACGCGUGGGAAUCUACCCAAUGGUACGGAAUAACUCAGGGAAACUUGAGCUAAUACCGUAUGUGCCCGAAAGGGGAAAGAUUUAUCGCCAUUGGAUGAGCCCGCGUCUGAUUAGCUAGUUGGUGGGGUAAUGGCCCACCAAGGCGACGAUCAGUAGCUGGUCUGAGAGGAUGAUCAGCCACACUGGGACUGAGACACGGCCCAGACUCCUACUGGAGGCAGCAGUGGGGAAUAUUGGACAAUGGGCGCAAGCCUGAUCCAGCCAUGCCGCGUGAGUGAUGAAGGCCCUAGGGUUGUAAAGCUCUUUCGACGGGGACGAUAAUGACGGUACCCGUAGAAGAAGCCCCGGCUAACUUCGUGCCAGCAGCCGCAGUAAUAC